rnacentral:ncRNA from 1 species
AUAAUGAAACUUUUACCUAGUCACAGCUUGAGCGUUGAAGUCAGAGUAAUCGACUGAUGAGCCGUCGCACGCAAUGAAGGUAACUCGGCAAAAUUGCGGAGUGGUGAAAUUCCAAUGA